rnacentral:rRNA from 1 species
UUCCGGUUGAUCCCGCCGGACCUGACUGCUAUCGGAUUGAUACUAAGCCAUGCGAGUUUUUGUAGUAAUACAAGGCAGACGGCUCAGUAACACGUAGUCAAUCUAACCUAUGGACGAGGAUAACCUCGGGAAACUGAGAAUAAUACUCGAUAGAUCAUUAUGCCUGGAACGGUUUAUGGUUCAAAUGAAUUUCGCCGUAGGAUGAGACUGCGGCCUAUCAGCUUGUUGGUGAGGUAAUGGCCCACCAAGGCUAUUACAGGUACGGGCUCUGAGAGGAGAAGCCCGGAGAUGGGUACUGAGACACGGACCCAGGCCCUAUGGGGCGCAGCAGGCGAGAAACCUUUGCAAUGUGCGCAAGCACGACAAGGUUAAUCCGAGUGUUUCCUGCUAAAGGAAUCUUUUGUUAGUCUUAAAAUCACUAUUGAAUAAGGGGUGGGCAAGUUCUGGUGUCAGCCGCCGCGGUAAAACCAGCACCUCAAGUGGUCAGGAGGAUUAUUGGGCCUAAAGCAUCCGUAGCCUGCUCUGUAAGUUUCCGGUUAAAUCCAUUAGCUCAACUAAUGGCCUGCCGGAAAUACUGCAGAGCUAGGAAGUGGGAGAGGUAGACGGUACUCGGUAGGAAGGGGUAAAAUCCUUUGAUCUAUUGAUGACCACCUGUGGCGAAGGCGGUCUACCAGAACACGUUCGACGGUGAGGGAUGAAAGCUGGGGGAGCAAACCGGAUUAGAUACCCGGGUAGUCCCAGCUGUAAACGAUGCAGACUCGGUGAUGCCCUGGCUUGUGGCCAGUGCAGUGCCGCAAGGGAAGCCGUUAAGUUUGCCGCCUGGAAGUACGUACGCAAGUAUGAAACUUAAAGGAAUUGGCGGGGGAGCACCACAAGGGUGAAGCCUGCGGUUCAAUUGGAUUCAACGCCGGAA